rnacentral:rRNA from 1 species
GACGAACGCUGGCGGCGUGCUUAACACAUGCAAGUCGAACGAUGAAGAAGAGAAACGCGAACUUCGGUUCAAAUUUCACUUCGGAUUAGUGGCAGACGGGUGAGUAACGCGUGAGCAACCUACCUCUUACAAAGGGAUAGCCUCGGGAAACCGUGAUUAAUACCAUAUGACACAUUCAUAAGGCAUCUUAAGAAUGUUAAAGCUACGGCGGUAAGAGAUGGGCUCGCAUCCCAUUAGCUAGUUGGUGAGGUAACGGCCCACCAAGGCGACGAUGGGUAACCGGCCUGAGAGGGUGAACGGUCACAUUGGAACUGAGACACGGUCCAAACUCCUACGGGAGGCAGCAGUGGGGAAUAUUGCACAAUGGAGGGAACUCUGAUGCAGCGACGCCGCGUGAGCGAUGAAGGAAUUCGUUUCGUAAAGCUCUGUUCUAUGGGAAGAAAAGGACUGUACCAUAGGAGAAAGCCCCGGCUAAAUACGUG